GGUGAUUAUAACUUGAAGGAAAGUUUAUGUGCGAUUUUCAGGUUGUGAACCUAUAAAAACUCUGAUAUUACAUGAAAGAAUAACAUUCUGGACUAUGCCGCAAAUCUUCAAUUACUUAAGGGACGUUAUUGAAUAUUCUCCAAGUCUUUAACUGCUGUAAAUUAACAUUCUGGAAUAUUCCUCAAGUCUUUAUCUGCUGUAUAUUAACAUUCUGGAAUAUUCCUCAAGUCUUUAACUGCUGUAUAUUAACAUUCUGGAAUAUUCCCCGUCUUUAACUCCUGUACAUUAACAUUCUGGAAUAUUCCUCAAGUCUUUAACUGCUGUAAAUUAACAUUCUGGAAUAUUCCCCAAGUCUUUAACUGCUGUAUAUUAACAUUCUGGAAUAUUCCCCGUCUUUAACUGCUGUAAAUUAACAUUCUGGAAUAUUCCCCAAGUCUUUAACUGCUGUAUAUUAACAUUCUGGAAUAUUCCCCGUCUUUAACUGCUGUAAAUUAACAUUCUGGAAUAUUCCCUGUCUUUAUCUGCUGUAUAUUAACAUUCUUGAAUAUUCCCCGUCUUUAUCUGCUGUAUAUUAACAUUCUGGAAUAUUCCCCAAGUCUUUAACUGCUGUAAAUUAACAUUCUGGAAUAUUCUCCAAGUCUUUAACUGCUGUAAAUUAACAUUCUGGAAUAUUCCCCGUCUUUAACUGCUGUAAAUUAACAUUCUGGAAUAUUCCCCGUCUUUAUCUGCUGUAUAUUAACAUUCUGGAAUAUUCCCCAAGUCUUUAACUGCUGUAAAUUAACAUUCUGGAAUAUUCUCCAAGUCUUUAACUGCUGUAAAUUAACAUUCUGGAAUAUUCCCCAAGUCUUUAACUGCUGUAAAUUAACAUUCUGGAAUAUUCCCCAAGUCUUUAACUGCUGUAAAUUAACACUCUGGAAUAUUCCUCAAGUCUUUAACUGCUGUAAAUUAACAUUCUGGAAUAUUCCCCAAGUCUUUAACUGAUGUAAAUUAACACUCUGGAAUAUUCCCCAAGUCUUUAACUGAUGUAAAUUAACACUCUGGAAUAUUCCCCAAGUCUUUAACUACAAAAGAAAGGCUUGCAAGCACUUUUGUUGUGGAUAAAGAGUUUUCAAAAAAAGAAAGAAAAAAAAGCUGAUUUUCUACGAAUAGUGAUGAGAGAUGCUAAUAGGAAUAAUUACUAACGAUAAUUGCUACACUUUUGAAUCUCUGGGACUGGUACUGGCUCUGUCACGUGAUUUAGGUACAGACUGAAUAAUUCACAAUAGACAGUAAAUCAGAAUUUUUUUUUUUUUCAGAUUUCAGAAACCACAAAGCUCAACAGGGUUUUAGUAUGCUAGUCUGAUUUGUAC
ensembl:lncRNA